GACGAACGCUGGCGGCGUGCUUAACACAUGCAAGUCGAACGCUGAAGCUCAGCUUUUGUUGGGUGGAUGAGUGGCGAACGGGUGAGUAACACGUGAGUAACCUGCCCCCUUCUUUGGGAUAACGCCCGGAAACGGGUGCUAAUACUGGAUAUUCACUGGUCUUCGCAUGGGGGUUGGUGGAAAGAGUUUUUCUGGUGGGGGAUGGGCUCGCGGCCUAUCAGCUUGUUGGUGGGGUGAUGGCCUACCAAGGCUUUGACGGGUAGCCGGCCUGAGAGGGUGACCGGUCACAUUGGGACUGAGAUACGGCCCAGACUCCUACGGGAGGCAGCAGUGGGGAAUAUUGCACAAUGGGCGCAAGCCUGAUGCAGCGACGCCGCGUGAGGGAUGGAGGCCUUCGGGUUGUGAACCUCUUUCGCUCAUGGUCAAGCCGCAACAAUGGUUGUGGUGAGGGUAGUGGGUAAAGAAGCGCCGGCUAACUACGUG
rnacentral:rRNA from 1 species